rnacentral:lncRNA from 1 species
AAAGGGGUGUCACAGGCCGACCUCUCCAGGGACCCGCAGGCCCACGGCCGGAUUUGCAGUUCAAGAGCACCGGCCUCACGCGCGGGUCAGGGCUCUUGCCCCGCCCCCGAGUCUGCCCCGCCCUUCUUUUCGCAUUGCGGGGCGGCUGGAGGUUGGCACUGUGCCCCUGUACCCCACGUGGCGCUCGGCCAGGGCUGGGGGAGGGGGUCUGGAGAGGCAAAUCCAGAGAGAAGUCUCCCACACACACACCGCCCGUGCAGGGCUGGGCUGCGGCUGCCUCUGGGAGGGGUCCUGGGUAGCUAAGCAGAGAGGGCUGCGGGAAGGAGUGACGUCAGGGUGAGUGGGUGCCCAAGAAGGGGUGUGUAGGAGAUCGGGAAUUCGAGAGGACGGAUCAGGCCCGGUCGAGGGAGAAGACAGGUCAAGGGGAGAGAAAAGAGAAAGAGCCGCUAUAGAGUGGGGCUGCGGGCCAGGUGGAGUAGAGACCGCUGUUGUUAAGGGAAGCUAAAAGAAAAAGAA